rnacentral:rRNA from 1 species
CCUACGGGAGGCAGCAGUGGGGAAUUUUGGACAAUGGGGGCAACCCUGAUCCAGCCAUUCCGCGUGAGUGAAGAAGGCCUUCGGGUUGUAAAGCUCUUUCGCAAGGGAAGAAAACUUAUGAUCGAAUAAAUCAUGAGGUUGACGGUACCUUGAUAAGAAGCACCGGCUAACUACGUGCCAGCAGCCGCGGUAAUACGUAGGGUGCGAGCGUUAAUCGGAAUUACUGGGCGUAAAGCGUGCGCAGGCGGUUUUGUAAGUCGGAUGUGAAAUCCCCGGGCUCAACCUGGGAACUGCGUUCGAAACUGCAAGGCUAGAGUGUGUCAGAGGGGGGUAGAAUUCCACGUGUAGCAGUGAAAUGCGUAGAGAUGUGGAGGAAUACCAAUGGCGAAGGCAGCCCCCUGGGAUAACACUGACGCUCAUGCACGAAAGCGUGGGGAGCAAACAGGAUUAGAUACCCUGGUAGUCCACGCCCUAAACGAUGUCAACUAGUUGUUGGUAGAGUAAAAUCUAUGAGUAACGUAGCUAACGCGUGAAGUUGACCGCCGUGGGAGGUACGGUCGCGAAGUAAGUUAAACGUUACGAAAGUAAGUUAGUUACGGCGUUGAGACGNGCGACGGACGACGACGAGGGAGGAGG